rnacentral:pre_miRNA from 1 species
AUGUAGGGCAAUCUGUUAUUAAGUAGGGGUAAAUUACUCUUGAANAAGAUGAUCCUUCCCUUCAAGUCAAGCAUCUUGU